GGUUUUUUUGUUUGUUUUGAGUUUAUACAAUCAUUAAGAAAUCUUUGGUUUUGGCUGGAAAUUUAAAAAACAAAACAAAACAAAGAAACCACCCUCCCCUGGCUUAUAGCAGCAGUAUUAUGACCUGGCUAAGCUUCUUUUCAACUUUAAGGGUGGGAGUUGAAGGUUGAGAACUACAUUCAAAGAAAAGGUCAAAGGGCAGGGAUGCAGCUUCUAGGGAGCCCGUUGGAUAUAAGAUUGUCAAAUAAUAUUAAUAUUAAUAAUAAUAAUAAACUUAAAUAUUUGGAUUUUUUUUUCUUUUUGGUCAUGCCAAAGGAAAAAAGUGAAAUGUAUAUGCAGCAGUCAGCUUAAAGGAACCUUUGGUGUCUUCCCUUCUACCCCGAAUUCUGCAAAUACACAGAAGCCUGUGGCCUCCACCCACAGGGAAAAGGACAGAGCCCUGACCCGUGGCCAGCGUCAGACACGGGGGCGGGGGGCAGGGGCAGCCCUGGAAGGCAGCAUGGCGGCUAGUGGAUGUGAGGAGACCUGUGAAGACCCCUUUGCAACAGAAAGGAACAGAAGAUUGCAAUUUGCCCUCGGGUUUGGAGUAGCUUUCAAGCAGAGACAUUCAGAGGCGUUAGGAGGUCCCACCCUUGGCUACAGGUCUCAUGAUGCUAUAGGCCAGAGUUUAAUAUUACAGAGAGGAGGGAGGGCAGACUUGGCAACUCUGUAGGGCUGAGAGGAAGUUAAAGCAAGUGACUCAGUCACAAGUUAGAAAUGAGGUAUACAACAGCUCCUGGACUUUGCGGUGGGCAGGACAACCCACGCUUACUCACCUAGCCCUCGCUGCUACCACAGAGGAGGGGAAGGAGUUCUCCCUGCAGCAAGGCCUCCUGUGGACUGGGUAAUGCACACUGCCCAUACAAGCAGAGUUUAAAACCAGUUCUGCAACAAUGCUAAGCUAUGCUGAGGUAUUUUAUGAAGGUGCCAGAAGCUAGCUGUUGUCCACGAAUAUUAUCCUCACAGAUUAAGAUACCACCAUUCAAAGAGAAAACGACAGGACGGAAAAGAGGAAGGGAGAUACAGAUUACAGAAUCAACACAAGAGUCACUUGGAUUUACUGCUUUUAGCAAAGGCCAAGGGUAGAAGAACCAACUUAAGGAAACAAUUCAUGAAAAAGGAUGGUUAGAAGACAGCUACAGCUCAUAGACCAUCCAGAAAACUGGGUGCGAAGUGGACAACUGCUGAGAAAUAUAUUCCCUGCCCUCCUGGUAGGAUCCUUUCACGCCUUACUGGAAAUUUCAUGGUGUCCCAUUUCAUCUCUUUGCACUAAGAAAAGGAUAAUAGGAUUCGUACAGACUUUUAAUGAUGAAAGCAAUUUAUCCUAUUUUUCUCCAAGUCUCCGUAUUGUAGGUGCUCCCCAUGCAAACCUGAUCUUAUUCUUCUUAGAGGACAGCACAGAUUUUUUUCCUUCUCAAAACUGAAGAUAAAUAUGAAGAAAGAUUUACUAUUUUAUAGAGUGUCAUCCUCAAAAUGUCAGGGACUGCAAAUGACUUCAGAACAGCUAGGACUGUGAUUAUAUGAGCAGUGUUACACACUAAAUGCUUUACACACACGCACACACACACAAGUGAACUCUUGAUGGUUAUGAACAAAGUCACCUAUCAAUUUCUGCCCGCUUGGCUGAUUUUAAAUUUCAGGUCUUCAGUCUGUUUCGCUUAUUAGUAUUGGCAGUCUUGCAACAUUUUUGGUACUAACAGAGUUUGAAGAAUAAAGAAACUUUAAAUUCCUCAAGUUGAAAUGCUGACAUAAGGAGAAAGUAUCUGACAAACCCUCCCGAGGGACUGUGGCGGUUAUGACUGCAGAGUGGCCUCUAAGCCUCCAUGCCAUACCCAGCAGCUCCUCUUUCCUGGGGGGAACAAG
ensembl:lncRNA